CUCCGGUCGCUCGACGUGCUCUCGCGUAGUUCCGCCUUUCUUAAGUCCCCCCGCCUCGCAAGAUGGCUGCGGUGCCGCCGGGCCCGGAGCCGUGGAACCGUGUGAGAAUCCCUAAGGCGGGGAACCGCAGCGCAGUGACAGUGCAGAACCCCGGCGCGGCCCUUGACCUUUGCAUUGCAGCUGUAAUUAAAGAAUGCCAUCUCGUCAUACUGUCGCUGAAGAGCCAAACCUUAGAUGCAGAAACAGAUGUGUUAUGUGCAGUCCUUUACAGCAAUCACAACAGAAUGGGCCGCCACAAACCCCAUUUGGCCCUCAAACAGGUUGAGCAAUGUUUAAAGCGUUUGAAAAACAUGAAUUUGGAGGGCUCAAUUCAAGACCUGUUUGAGUUGUUUUCUUCCAAUGAAAAUCAGCCCUUAACUACCAAAGUAUGUGUUGUCCCCAGUCAGCCAGUGGUGGAGUUGGUGUUGAUGAAGGUUUUGGGAGCCUGCAAGUUGUUGCUCCGCUUGUUGGACUGCUGCUGCAAAACUUUUCUGUAUCCUUGAAUAUCUUGAAAUAUACCUUCUUUUGAAUUGGAAUUGUUUGGAUAUUUUUAACAGUAUUUUUGUUUGAAAGCUAACACUCCAUAGGAGUUACAACCUACAGGAAUUCUUAAACUUUUGCUUCUUGGCCUCUUUUUCUCAGGUAUUGCCUGAUGCAGCCAUUGCCAGAGACUGCCUGUCACUGUUCAGCACGUAUUAUCCUAAGAGCAUUGAUAGCUAGAAAUUCUUAAUCUUAGAAACUAAACUUUAAGAACUAAAUUUAAUAACGGGAACUCUAGCAGAGUGUUUAUAACCAUAUUUUAAAGUUUCAAAUUCUUAAAUAGAACGUGUUUUAAGGCUUUAAUACCUUUAAGAAAAUUCUCUUUACUUCCAAUAUAUUUCUUCAUUCAUGAUUGUAACUUACAAAACCCACAUUACUUUGAUUUUGUUUUCUACCUUAAAUUGAUUUUCCAGUUUGACUGUGAAACAUCUAGGUUUGCAAGAGUUCAUUAUUUUAAACCUUGUGAUGGUUGGGCUGGUGAGCAGGUUAUGGGUUCUCUAUAAAGGUGUCUUAAAAAGGUUGAUUUUGUUAUAUGAGUCUUUGUUUGGAUUGCUUCAAGAGGUCGCUAGGAUUCAACCAAUGCCUUACUUCAAAGAUUUUACCUUUCCUUCUGAUAUCACUGAAUUUUUAGGACAGCCAUAUUUUGAAGCCUUUAAGAAAAAAAUGCCUACAGCUUUUGCAGCUAAAGGAAUAAAUAAAUUGCUAAAUAAACUGUUUUUAAUAAAUGAGCAGUCACCAAGAGCCAGUGAAGAAACCUUACUUGGAAUUUCAAAAAAAGCUAAACAAAUGAAGAUCAAUGUACAGAAUAACGUGGAUCUUGGACAGCCAGUAAAGAAUAAGAGAGUCUUCAAAGAAAAGUCAUCAGAAUUUGAUGUGAGGGCUUUCUGCAACCAGCUGAAACACAAAGCUACUCAGGAGACCAGUUUUGAUUUUAAAUAUUCUCAAUCCAGACUAAAGACAACCAAGUAUUCUUCUCAGAAAGUGAUAGGAACUCCUCAUGCCAAAAGUUUUGUGCAAAGAUUCCGAGAGGCUGAGUCCUUCACACAACUUUCUGAAGAAAUCCAGAUGGCAGUUGUAUGGUGCAGGAGCAAAAAACUCAAGGCUCAGGCCAUUUUUCUGGGUAACAAACUUCUUAAAAGCAACCGGCUUAAACAUCUGGAAGCUCAAGGUACUAGUUUGCCAAAGAAACUAGAGUGCAUAAAAACGUCUAUUUGCAACCACCUUCUUCGUGGCUCAGGUAUCAAAACUUCAAAGCAUCAUCUGAGACAGAGAAGAUCACAGAAUAAAUUUUUACGGAGACAGAGGAAACCACAGAGAAAGUUGCAGUCGACUCUUUUAAGGGAAAUUCAGCAGUUCUCUCAAGGGACUUGGAAGAGUGCUACAGAUACCAGUGCUAAGUGGAGACUCUCACACUGUACUGUGCAUAGAACUGAUCUCUACCCUAACAGUAAGCAGCUCUUGAAUAGUGGAGUUUCAAUGCCUGUCAUACAAACUAAGGAGAAAAUGAUUCAUGAAAAUCUUAGAGGCAUCCAUGAAAAUGAAACUGAUUCGUGGACGGUGAUGCAAAUAAAUAAAAACAGUACAUCAGGAACCAUUAAGGAGACAGAUGACAUUGAUGAUAUUUUUGCUUUAAUGGGAGUUUAGAUCUUCGUUCAUAUGUGAGACUUUUAAGUGAUUAACAAGGCUAGUUCAGUGUUCUAAGUAGAACUGCUAAGAUCUGGAAGUACCACCUGGACUCACAGAGGAGCUGCUUUAGUGCAGCAUUGCACAGGAGUUCAUUUCAGUUCAGUCUACAUUUAAAGUAGCAUUGUGUCAUUUCAUCAACAAGUAUUUUUUUUUGGCUUCAACUACAUGUCAGGUGUUAAUAUGAAAAAUCUGCCACAGCCUACCCUUGAGAAGCAGAUGUAAUUCCUUGAGUGAGGCUAGUAAGUGUCUGAAAAACUGAAUAAUUUUAUGACUUACUAGGCAAUUUAAUAAUCGUUUGCAAAAACCAUUGUGUCUUGAGGUAAAUGAGUAAGGAGGGUGGGGGAUAGCAAGGAAACACCUGAAAGGUCAAUUUGGUCUUAUUGGCUCCAUUAUACAUAGGUCCGCCUCUGAAUACUAAAGUUUGUAGCUCCUGACAGUUAUGUUUUCUUGUUUAUAUGCUGGAAUUGAUCAACAAGGUUUGCCACUGCUUGUAUUACCAGGGACUGGUUACAACCAUUAUUUCUCUUCAUUUGCUCGGCUUAUCUCAUAUUAAAGUGAGUUUGGAGUUCUCCAAAA
rnacentral:sRNA from 1 species